UGGGGAAUAUUGGACAAUGGGGGAAACCCUGAUCCAGCAAUGCCGCGUGUGUGAAGAAGGCCUUCGGGUUGUAAAGCACUUUAGGCGGGGAAGAAGAUGUGGAGUUUAAGAGAUACUACAUUUGACGGUACCCGCAGAAUAAGCACCGGCUAACUCUGUGCCAGCAGCCGCGGUAAUACAGAGGGUGCAAGCGUUAAUCGGAAUUACUGGGCGUAAAGGGCGCGUAGGUGGUUACGUAAGUGAGAUGUGAAAGCCCCGGGCUUAACCUGGGAAUGGCAUCUUAUACUGUGUAGCUGGAGUGCAAUAGAGGGUAGUGGAAUUUCCGGUGUAGCGGUGAAAUGCGUAGAUAUCGGAAGGAACACCAGUGGCGAAGGCGGCUACCUGGAUUGACACUGACACUGAGGCGCGAAAGCGUGGGGAGCAAACAGGAUUAGAUACCCGCGUAGUCC
rnacentral:rRNA from 1 species